rnacentral:tRNA from 1 species
UGGGUUGUGGCUCAGUGGCAGAGUGCUUGCCUAGCAUGUGUGAGGUACUGGGUUCGAUUCUCAACACCAA